rnacentral:misc_RNA from 1 species
UUUCACAAGUCAGACCUCUA